CGAACACGAAAAACUGUCAAGGGCUUAAUUUAUGUUGACUGCUAUGAAAGACCAUGUCGAUUCACAACAAUACAUUAUUUAUCUUAAUUGAACUGCGUCACACAGGUAAUUUUAGGAAUAAUUUUGACGUUCAUUGUAUAUGACCUCAAAAGAUUAUGAAGAACCGUUGAGCUCUAGAUAAAGGAUUUCAUUUAUCUUUAAUUUGAGACAUAAAUAUAUCUCUGGGUCUGAAUUAUUUUAUUAUUUAUAACCGAUAUACCACUAAUUCAACAUAUUGAUACAUUUAAUCAGCUAAACACAUUCAUAACCAUAUGAACAUUCAUAACCAUAUGAAUUGGUUAAGCUUCUUUAACAACAAUACAUAAUUUAUCUUCACUGAACUUUGUACUCGCGUCACACAGGUAUUCUUUAAGAAUAAUUUUGACGUUCAUUGUUUAUGACCUCAAUUACUUUUUGUGUCAUAUUUGAGUCAUUCCUUCCAAGCCUAUUUGCAUGUAUAUCUGUUUCAAAACUAAUGAUUAAUUGUAAAUAUAUGGUGAAAAGCUGAAAAAAAACUUUAUUUAAGCUGACUUCCAAAGCCAUGUCGAUUCACAGGUAAUUUACUUAAUUGAACUUUUUACACGGCGUCACACAGGUGUACAAAAAAUUAUUUUCCCGUUUAAAGUAUACAAUUAUGAUGUAUCAUAAAUUGAGUUGUAGUGAAUUUAAAUUGUUUCUUAUGUCUGUAUAAUCCAGUUUAUUAGAACAAAUUUAUAAAAGCAGCUCUGGGGGAGGAUUUCAGACUCAAGGUUUAUCUAACUGCAGGUUUUUCUCUUGAAGGCGAAUCAGGCACAUUCCCGACCAAGUUUCUGUGGAAAAACAAAACAUUGUCAGUAGUGCUGCUAACCCAAUUGAAAGACUCCAAAAGGAAGAGCGAAUGCGCAGGGACAAUGAUUUCGUCAAAUUCUUAAGAUUAUAUGAAAAUAAUAACUAUGAUUUCCUGUGGCAAUAUGCAAAAAUUAGUGGCAGACUUUUAACCGCUAAACAUAUAGCCAAACUACACAAUGGUUUCAAAAUCGGAUGAGAGCUUCACAGACCUUUUGCUUGGCAACCAUGAAGAUCUCUGUGACAUUUUAAUACCGGAACAUCGUUUGGAAGUCCUUAACGAGGGAUUUUCCUUCCUAAAAUACUGUAGACUAAAUACUUUUCCAUUCAAAAUAUUAAGUUAUUGACAUUUCUAAUUAUGUGAUUUUAAACUUUUCUUAUUGUAUAUAAUAUUAGUAUUUUGUCUUAUGUCAAUCUCCUAUAGGAGGAAAUAAAGUAUGAUGAUGAUAUAUUUUGUCAAUCAAGGACGCCUUAAGGAGCAGUAUAAUUACAAACAAUUAAUUACAAUGAUUAUUAUUUAUUCUUAAUGAUAUACAAAUGACAAAAUAUAGAAUAAAGAAAAUAAACACAAAAGCAAAAUUAAUACCGCAGAUAUAAUAGCGGCAUAUAUCUUAUCAGUCAAUAUCAAGUAGGAUUUAAACAAAAUUGUAGUACUGCUGAUCGCAUACUUUUUUUUAAAAUCAUUAUUGAUCACUAUAAAAGUAAAAAAAGAAGAAAGUAUUUGAUGCUUUCAUAGACCUGCGUAAAGCCUUUGAUACGAUGUGGAGAUUAGGCUUAUUUUUUAAACUUUAAAAAUCAGGUUUAUCCUAAAAGUUUCUUAAUAUUUUUCUGCAAUGUAUGAAAAUACUACCACUACAAUUAAAUUUUCAAAUGGUCUUAGUACUACAUUCACUUCAGAGCGAGGUGUUAAUCAAGGGGAUUGUUUUUUUUCAGAUGAAUUCUGACCAACAAUCAAUAAAUAAUAUACAAUCAU